rnacentral:rRNA from 1 species
GACGAACGCUGGCGGCGUGCUUAACACAUGCAAGUCGAACGGAAAGGCCCUGCUUUUGUGGGGUGCUCGUGUGGCGAACGGGUGAGUAACACGUGAGUAACCUGCCCUUGACUUUGGGGUAACUUCAGGAAACUGGGGCUCAUACCGGAUAGGAGCUCCUGCUGCAUGGUGGGGGUUGGAAAGUUUCGGCGGUUGGGGAUGGACUCGCGGCUUAUCAGCUUGUUGGUGUGGUAGUGGCUUACCAAGGCUUUGACGGGUAGCCGGCAUGAGAGGGUGACCGGCGACAAGGGGACUGAGAUACGGCCCAGACUCGAACCGGAGGCAGCAGUGGGAAAUCUGACACAACGGGCGGAAGUGUGUUGCAAAAAUGCCGGGUGCGGGAUGACGGCCUUCGGGUUGUAAACAGAUGUCGCCUGUGACGAAGAGUGAGUGACGGUAAUGGGUAAAGAAGCACCGGCUAACUACGUG